UUCGUCAUCAUUGGGCGUAAAGAGCGUGUAGGCGGCUUGUUAAGUCUUGCGUGAAAUCUCGGGGCUCAACCCCGAGCGGUCGUGAGAAACUGGCAGGCUAGAGUGCGGGAGAGGAGAGUGGAAUUCCUGGUGUAGCGGUGAAAUGCGCAGAUAUCAGGAAGAACACCCGUGGCGAAGGCGGCUCUCUGGAACGCAACUGACGCUGAGACGCGAAAGCGUGGGGAGCAAACAGG
rnacentral:rRNA from 1 species